rnacentral:rRNA from 1 species
AUUGAACGCUGGCGGCAUGCCUUACACAUGCAAGUCGAACGGUAACGCGGGGCAACCUGGCGACGAGUGGCGAACGGGUGAGUAAUGCAUCGGAACGUGCCCAGUAGUGGGGGAUAGCCCGGCGAAAGCCGGAUUAAUACCGCAUACGACCUACGGGUGAAAGCGGGGACCGUAAGGCCUCGCGCUAUUGGAGCGGCCGAUGUCAGAUUAGGUAGUUGGUGGGGUAAAGGCCUACCAAGCCUACGAUCUGUAGCUGGUCUGAGAGGACGACCAGCCACACUGGGACUGAGACACGGCCCAGACUCCUACGGGAGGCAGCAGUGGGGAAUUUUGGACAAUGGGCGCAAGCCUGAUCCAGCCAUGCCGCGUGCGGGAAGAAGGCCUU